rnacentral:rRNA from 1 species
AUGGCGCAGCAUCCGCGAGAAGAACCACAGUGCCUUGGCGUCAAGCCCAUUCUGGUUGUACCCCGUGAUGACCGCGUUCCACGAGACGAUGGUCCGGUCCGGCAUGCUCUCGAACAAGGACAAAGCAAGGUCCAUCCUCCCCAGACGGGCGUCGAGCGACACCAUGGCGUUCCAGCUCGACACGCUCCGUGCCGGCAUCCUCUCAAACACGGCCCUCGCUGUCUCGGCGUCCCCGCACUUGCCGUACAUGUUGAGCACCGAGUUGGCCACGGGCACGCAGCCGCCCAGGCCGAGCUUGACCGCGAAGGAGUGCACCUUCCGCCCGGCCCCGCCGGCCUCCGCGGCCGCGCACGACGAGAGCACGUUGGUGAGCGUGAACUGCGUCGGCGCCAGCCCGUCCCCGACCAUGUCCAGGAACGCCUCGACGGCCUCCCCGAAGCGGCGGGCGCGGUUGAGCCCCACGACCAUGACGGUCCACGACACGGCGUCGCGCUCGGGCAUUUCCGCGAACACGGCGCGCACGUCGGCCAGGCGGCUGGACUUGGAGUAGGCCGACAGCAGCGAGUUCCACGUGAACACGUUCCGCCGCGCCGCGGGGACCUCGUCGAACAGGCGCCGCGCCUCCCGGAGGCCGCCUCCUCCGGCGGCGGCGUAGUAGGAGAGGAGGUUGUUGCAGAGGUAGGCGCUGGCGAGGAGGCCGGCCUUGACGGCGCGCGCGUGGACGGCGCGCCCGGCGCCCGGGUUGGCGGCCGCGCCGCACAGCCGCAGAAGGCGCGCGCAGUGGUCGGCGGCCGUCCGCGGCGCCCCGGCGGCGUGGGGCUCCAGGGCGGCGGCAUCUCGCAUGUCGCGGGAAAGUUAGGCGGGCCGCGGCCCACCGGAUUAGCAAAAACCGGCUCGCUCGCUCGCCCCACUUUUUCCCCAAACCGAAACUGCUAG